rnacentral:rRNA from 1 species
UACAGAGGUCCCAAGCGUUGUUCGGAUUCAUUGGGCGUAAAGGGUGUGUAGGUGGCGCCGUAAGUCGGGUGUGAAAUUUCGGAGCUUAACUCCGAAACUGCAUUCGAUACUGCGGUGCUUGAGGACUGGAGAGGAGACUGGAAUUCAUGGUGUAGCAGUGAAAUGCGUAGAGAUCAUGAGGAAGACCAGUGGCGAAGGCGGGGUCUCUGGACAGUUCCUGACACUGAGACACGAAGGCCAGGGGAGCAAAACGGGG